rnacentral:rRNA from 1 species
GACGAACGCUGGCGGCGUGCUUAACACAUGCAAGUCGAACGGAAAGGCCCUGCUUUUGUGGGGUGCUCGAGUGGCGAACGGGUGAGUAACACGUGAGUAACCUGCCCUUGACUUUGGGAUAACUUCAGGAAACUGGGGCUAAUACCGGAUAGGAGCUCCUGCUGCAUGGUGGGGGUUGGAAAGUUUCGGCGGUUGGGGAUGGACUCGCGGCUUAUCAGCUUGUUGGUGGGGUAGUGGCUUACCAAGGCUUUGACGGGUAGCCGGCCUGAGAGGGUGACCGGGGCAAUGGGGAUGGGAGAAGGGCCAGACUCCUACGGGAGGCAGCAGUGGGGAAUAUUGAACAAUGGGCGGAAGCCUGAUGCAGCAACGCCGCGUGCGGGAUGACGGGCUUCGGGUUGUAAACCGCUUUCGCCUGUGACGAAGCGUGAGUGACGGUAAUGGGUAAAGAAGCACGGGCUAACUACGUG